rnacentral:rRNA from 1 species
GCCUGGGGAGUACGACCGCAAGGUUGAAACUCAAAGGAAUUGACGGGGGCCCGCACAAGCGGAGGAACAUGUGGUUUAAUUCGAUGAUACGCGAGGAACCUUACCCGGGUUUGAACGCAUUCGGACCGAGGUGGAAACACCUUUUCUAGCAAUAGCCGUUUGCGAGGUGCUGCAUGGUUGUCGUCAGCUCGUGCCGUGAGGUGUCGGCUUAAGUGCCAUAACGAGCGCAACCCUUGCCACUAGUUACUAACAGGUAAAGCUGAGGACUCUGGUGGGACUGCCAGCGUAAGCKSCGAAGGAAGGCGGGGAUGACGUCAAAUCAGCACGGCCCUUACAUCCGGGGCGACACACGUGUUACAAUGGCGUGGACAAAGGGAAGCCACCUGGCGACAGGGAGCGAAUCCCCAAACCACGUCUCAGUUCGGAUCGGAGUCUGCAACCCGACUCCGUGAAGCUGGAUUCGCUAGUAAUCGCGCAUCAGCCACGGCGCGGUGAAUACGUUCCCGGGCCUUGUACACACCGCCCGUCA